AUUAUCCAUGUGGCAUACUAAUCAGAUACAAAUAUGACGAGGUCUUUGUUCCACAACACAUAAAAGUUAGAAAAAAGCUGAGUUUUUUAAAAUUUAAUGUUCGCCAUCUUUUACACUCAAUAAACUAAACAUGCAUUCCAACAAAAUAAUUCGUGAUCCUUUGUUACAAACGCAAUGUAAAACACAUGCUAUGCCUGAGAUCUCAACGGUUCUGAGAGACAAAAUAACUGAGGCGAUCAAAAUGAUCUUCUUCUUUUAAUCGCCCACAAAAUUGACAAGUUGGUCUUCCAAAACACAAAUUAAGCAAAACUGAUGAGUUAUACUGAUCAUGCAACCGCUGUGGUAAGGGGUUAAUGUAAAACUGCGAGUUACAUAGCAAGCAUAUUUCAAACAAUUGAACACGCGUAGCUGCGUACGCUUAGCGUUCGUGACAUCUUAUCAUUGGAGCUGAAUUUUUAGUUGCUCAGCGAAAACCGCCAAGAAGCCUACAAGUAUGCUAACAUUUUCAUGAACUCUAGCUGGACAGCUGCCACGAGAGAUCGGUGUUAAACUGUGAGUGCUGAAUGCCAAUAAUAUGUAGUGAUUACAACAAGAGAUCGCGUUGUUCAGUUGAUAUAAACAACUCGACUGCCCAUUCCAUGCCUUCGUGGAAAGCGCGGUUAAUGUAGUAUUUGAGGAGAAGAAAACGAUUGACAGCAUCCUCCUUCCUGCUUGCUAAAGAACGCUAUAGAAGUCAGUAGCUAAUAGUUCUUUUUAUCUCAGGUUAAUGAUACGGAGAUUUCCCUUCAAGCGCCGGAAACUGGUUCAGUUUCUGCACUUAGCCUGCUUUACUUAGCCUCUUCUUAAAACCUCUAUAUUUGCACUUAGUCUUUAUUAUAUGCAUGAUAUUUCAUUAUAUAAUCAGUACUGCUUAUAUUGCCUUCUCACAAGACAGCGGAGCCUUUAGGGUGCAAUCCAUUAGGUUCAGUUUUGCUAUAUUUGACCAAGCUGGAGAUGUUUAACCGAAAAAAGUAGAAAUUUUGGCGAUAAAUUGAUUUGUUUUUAGUAAUAUUAUGAGGAAAUGUGUGGUUGAUUGUUCAGUUCUAUCUGGCUCGAAAUUUACCUCGUAGUGAGAUUAAAUUGUGCAGUGUUUAGAUUUUGAGGGUAUAAAUAGUGCAUUAGCGGGAAUUUAUCAAUUAUCUGAAAGAUGACUUUUUGGAACUCAAUUAUUCCUGAUGAAUGAAUAAAAUUUCAUUUUAAACACACGAAGGGCGCAACUCAAUCGGGCUACUCAUUCAAUCUUGAGUUUCGUUAAGCGAAACUCGCCCAAAGAAAGGAGUAGAACAGAAUAAUAAUCAGCCUCUUGUGCAGCGAACAGAUCAAUGAUGACAAACCAUAUGUUUUCACUCGCUCAAAACCAAAGGAUCAAUGUACUUCAUAGAUCUGAUUUCACUUCGUGGGAUUUGUGAUUCCGGAAUAUUCGGGAAAAACUUAAUUUCCAAACUGAACAAGCCUUAGUUGUUCCUUAAAAGAGGUCUUCAUUCAUUCAUUCAUUCUGCGCCAUAAUUGAGUGUUCGUAAAAGGAAAAAUCGUACGUGAAAAUCACUAUUUAUUGUGAUGUUCAGGAAGAAAUGAAAGGGACGUCAUUCUUUUAUUCCAGUUGAUUGCCGCUACAUGUUUAAGAAAUGGCAUACCAGACAUGAUUUGUAUGUUGUAGUUCAGAAGUAUUUGGUUACGUAAUGAGGUUGCAGUUUUGAAACAACAUCAGACGAUGAGGUAAAAUUAAAUGUCAACCCUCCGCCGUUUAGCUUUUAUUUCAAUAAAAAAAUAAAAAUAGUUUUCAUUAAUAUUUUGAGUUACCUACGCAAAAUCCAAUGAAAUGCAGUGAAAUGGCAA